rnacentral:rRNA from 1 species
UACAGGGGGGGCAAGCGUUGUUCGGAAUUACUGGGCGUAAAGGGCGCGUAGGCGGAUAGUUUAGUCAGAGGUGAAAGCCCAGGGCUCAACCUUGGAGUUGCCUUUGAUACUGGCUGUCUUGAGUUCGGGAGAGGUGAGUGGAAUGCCGAGUGUAGAGGUGAAAUUCGUAGAUAUUCGGCGGAACACCAGUGGCGAAGGCGACUCACUGGCCCGAUACUGACGCUGAGGCGCGAAAGCGUGGGGAGCAAACAGG